rnacentral:rRNA from 1 species
UACGUAGGGGGCAAGCGUUGUCCGGAUUUAUUGGGCGUAAAGAGCGUGUAGGCGGCCAGACAGGUCUGCUGUGAAAACUCGAGGCUCAACCUCGAGACGCCGGUGGAAACCGUCUGGCUAGAGUCCGGAAGAGGAGAGUGGAAUUCCUGGUGUAGCGGUGAAAUGCGCAGAUAUCAGGAAGAACACCCGUGGCUAAGGCGGCUCUCUAGUACGGUACUGACGCUGAGACGCGAAAGCGUGGGGAGCGAACGGG